ACUUUCACCCGGACAGAGGCGGACGGGACCCACCGCUGCAACGUGAGGCGCGAUUCUGGGAACAUGAUGUUUUUCUGGAACAUUCAGAAGAGCUACAGUACAUGGCCAGGGACGAGUAAUGCGGCGCUACGGCGAGCCGUUUAACAUAUCACUGAUUCGAAGAACACUGGGACACGAUGUACUGUGCUGUACAAACCCGAGAAAAGAGGAGAGAAGGUGUGGUUAAGCGCACCAGAUCCAGCUCUGUAAACAGACCGUCAUCUACUGACAUCUAGUGGACAAACUAGAUCUCUACAGUCCUCCUCACAUGAGUGUGAACGCGGAAAACAGGGAAUCUGAUCAGUCGAGCAGAGAUUCACAGGAGCUCAGAUCCUCAGAGAACAGG